AAACAAACUAUUUUAAUUUUGGACACCUCAUAAAUCAAGUUUCAUGCUCAUUCGUAAUCGAAAUCAUUUUGGUCCUUUUUAUAGUAUGGGUCUGAACCAUUGUCCAAUUUUUGUAAGCGAUGUGGGACAUUGUACAAUCGUAAUUAUUAUCUACCUGAAACCCGUCCUACCAUAUAACCCAGUUCCGUGAAAUUAAACAUAAUUUUUUCAUUUUCUUAUAAAUUUCAAUAUUAUAAAAUUUGAAACUUAGAAAAAAUACAAUAUCAACCUUGA
rnacentral:sRNA from 1 species